GGCUUCGUAGCUCAGCUGGCAGAGCUCUUGCCGUUUGGAGGCAUGGUGUUUCUGUCGUUGGUUCGAAUCCAACCGAAGCCC
rnacentral:tRNA from 1 species